rnacentral:rRNA from 1 species
AUUGAACGCUGGCGGCAGGCCUAACACAUGCAAGUCGAGCGGAUGAGUGGAGCUUGCUCCAUGAUUCAGCGGCGGACGGGUGAGUAAUGCCUAGGAAUCUGCCUGGUAGUGGGGGACAACGUUUCGAAAGGAACGCUAAUACCGCAUACGUCCUACGGGAGAAAGUGGGGGAUCUUCGGACCUCACGCUAUCAGAUGAGCCUAGGUCGGAUUAGCUAGUUGGUGAGGUAAAGGCUCACCAAGGCGACGAUCCGUAACUGGUCUGAGAGGAUGAUCAGUCACACUGGAACUGAGACACGGUCCAGACUCCUACGGGAGGCAGCAGUGGGGAAUAUUGGACAAAGGGCGAAAGCCUGAUCCAGCCAUGCCGCGUGUGUGAAGAAGGUCUUCGGAUUGUAAAGCACUUUAAGUUGGGAGGAAGGGCAGUAAGUUAAUACCUUGCUGUUUUGACGUUACCAACAGAAUAAGCACCGGCUAACUUCGUG